GGCACAGUUCGACAUUGUUCAUUUUCUGAUAAACUUCCUGCUUUUUUAAAGCCAAAAAAUACAGAUUGAGCGAAAAGACAAAGUGCGAACACCAAAAGAUGUGCUAAUUAUUAUCAGAUCUUUGAAAAUGCAUUUUUCCAAUCCUGGUGCAACCUGAGCUUACCAAAUUUACGUCCUACUGUCACUUUGGACAUUGUGAAGAUGAUAAUAUGGACAAUAUAUUGUGUUGUGAUUGACUGUUUUUUUUAUCAGAUAAAGUGUUAUAUUCCAGACUUAACAUGUCAUUUUUCAUCAAGGAAUAACAAAAAUACAAUUGCAUUGAUAUGCAUGAAUUUGUAGUACAUUAUAUCAACAAUGUGUUAAUUAUGUUGGUUUUUUAACAGUCUGUCAUCCAUAAGUAAACAUAUUAAGCAUGUUAAGUAUGUUUAGGGAAUAUAAUGUAUACAUUUUUGUUGUUUCUGCAAACUAAAUCAGAUACACGAAAAUCUGUUUUAUGAUUAAUGAUGAAAAACUCACUCAUAGUGAUCUCACUAUAAAAUUUUCUGUCCAGUAUAAUAAAUAAAUUGUAUUGUAUGCCUGGUAUGUGUCCUAAAAAUAAAAUCACAAUUACUGUUGUAGUUCAUAUUGACAUCAAGAUAUGUGAUGUAAAUAUAUGUAGUCAAAUUAUGUAUACAUGUAUAUUAUUUUAACCGGUAAACAAAAAUUAAGAAGUGUAACGUUCAAUCUAUGAUGAUGUGUGCCAUUAAAUAUGUCUUGCUGAUUGCAAUAAUUUUGUUUAAGUUACAAAUCGUCAUUUUGAACCUCUACAUAUGAAAUGAGUGAAAUUUGUUUUCUAUCUACACUUAUACUGAGUUUAAUAAUAUAUUAACUAUAAAUAUAUUGUUGAUAACACAUAGCAUGUAUAUGCAAUUGAAAAUGUACUGUUUCCAUAGCAGCUGUAAAGUAACUUAAUUAAAUUUGUCUAAUUAAUUUUAUCAAUUGUUGAAUAAACUAGAAUUGCUAAUUUAAGAAAAUGUCUGACAGUAUAGAUGCACAACACAAAUUGUAUCAUGAGCCGUCAUUUAUUUUAGUUUCAAAUUUGUAGCUAUACAAACAGUUCAAUUACUGAAUACACACCUAUUUCAAGAAAAUGUGCAAACAUUUUUUUUAUAAACAUAUUUAUGAUGUUACAUAUCUGUCUAGGGCAUUUUUUUAUUUUUCUGUUAUGUUUUCUUAAAUUCUUUAAAAUGGUAAUAAAUAUGGAAAAAGAACAUUUUUGUUUCCAUGGCAACCACGAGUAUUUAUGAUUUAUCAUACUACAAUUAAUUGUGUAUUUUGUAAUCAAUUAUGUUAAUCUACAUAUGCGAAUAAUGGAGUUAUUAUCAGCAUGUACUGAUCAACAUCACAUGUACUGAUACUUAUUGAAUUAACACGUCAUUUCAUUAAAAAUGGCGCUAUGGGCGUUUAUGACAUGACACAUAAAAAAUGACAUAACUUCGUCAUUUUUAGCUCUACUGGCCAAAGGCUAGAACAGGUUAUGGGAUGGCGAGUUUUUUUUUCGUCCGUGCGUUAGACUUUUUCUUGUUUACGCGAUAAAGUCCACGGUUUUCAUCCGAUUCUUUUCAAACUUCUUCAGUGUCUUUAUAUUAAUGAGGACUCGAACCCUAUUGAUUUUCAGGUCACUAGGUCAAAGGUCAAGGUCACAGUGAUUCGAAAUAGUAAAAUGGUUACCGGAUGAUAACUCAAGAAUGUUGACGCCUAGGAUCAUGAAACUUCAUAUGUAUAUUUAUCUAUAAUGAUCUAUGCGAUAAUGUCAAUACGCCUUGUUGGGCAAGUAGAAUAAAUUCCAUUGUUGAUCAUCUAGGCUAUGCACAUAUCAGAUUAUUUUUCGAUCAUAGCGUGUACUAUUAUAGUUUGUUGAAAUCAAAAAUAAGAGAUCAAUUUGUACAGGAAUGGCAUGAUAGUAUUAAUGCAAUGUCAAAACUUGAUAGUUAUUGCAAAUAUAAAACCGAAUUUUGUUUUGAAAAAUAUUUUGAUGUUAUAACUAAUGACAAGUUACGAAAAUUAUUGACAAGUAUACGAUUAUGUUCCCAUAGUCUAGAGAUAGAAGUAGAAAGAUAUUUUAACAUAGAAAGAGAUAAUAGAUUGUGCAAAUUAUGUAGUCAAAAUGCUGUAGAAUCAGAAUAUCAUUUAAUUUUAUGUUGCUCAAAGUAUAGAUGUAUAAAUCCAAAAUAUAUUGGAAAUUGUUCAUGGCCUACUGUUAAAAAAAUUCAUUUUAUAAAUGUCAACAAAAAGUAAAAAAUGUAUGUAUAAUCUUGCAAAAUAUAUUAAAGAAUCUCUCUGUUUAAGACAAUAUGCCCUUGAAAACCUAACUGUUCUCUGAUUGUUAUGUAAUAUUCUGUUGUGUUCUUUGUUAUAUGUAUAUGAAAUUAGUUUAAAUAGAAAUUGUAUUUGUAUAUAUGUAUAUGAUUGUCUUUGCCAUAAGUUUUAUGUAUUUGUAAAUGGCCAAAGGCAAAUAUUUUGCCGAUUGCUAAUAAACUGAAACUAAACUUUAUCAUGACUAGCAGAUGACCCCUAUUAAUUUUUCAGGUCACUUGGUCAAAGGUCAUGGUCACAGUGACUCGAAACAGUAAAAUGGUUUCCGGAUGAAAACUCAAGAAUGCUUACGCCUAGGAUCAUGAAACUGCAUAGGUACAUAAAUCAUGACUGGCAGAUGACCCCUAUUGAUUAUUUGGUCACUAGGUCAAGGGUCAAGGUCACAGUGACUCGAAAAAGUAAAAUGGUUUCCGGAUGAUAACUCAAGAAUGCUUACGACUAGGAUCAUGAAACUUAAGAGGUACAUUGAUCAUGACUGACAGAUGACCCCUAUUAAUUUUUAGGUCACUAGGUCAAAGGUCAAGGUCACAGUGACUCGAAACAGUAAAAUAGUUUCCGGAUGAUAACUCAAGAAUGCUUACGCCUAGGAUCAUGAAACUUCAUAGAAAGAUUGAUCAUGACUGGCAGAUGACGCCUAUUGAUUUUCAGGUCACUAGGUAAAAGGUCAAGGUUACAGUGACUCGAAAUAGUAAAAUGGUUUCUGGAUGAUAACUCAAGAAUGCUUACACCUAGGAUAAUGAAAUUUCAUAGGUACAUUGAUCAUGACUGGCAGAUGACACCUAUCAAUUUUCAGGUAAAACGUCAAGGUCACAGUGGCUCAAAACAGUAAAAUGGUUUCCUGAUAAUAGCUGCAAGACAUAAUAGGCCUAGGAUCAUGAUACUUUAUAGGUACAUUGAUCAUGACUGGCAGAUGGCUCCUAUUGAUAUUCAGGUCAAAGGUAAAGGUCACAGUGACCAAAAACGUAUUCACACAAUGGCUGCUGCCACUACGACUGACAGCCCAUAUGGGGGGCAUGCAUGUUUUACAAACAGCCCUUGUUUAAAAAGAGCAAUAUCGAAGCGAUAAGUCCAGAAAUACUUCCCUUUGAAUAUGAGAAAAUUUUGAAAUUCCGCUUCUUUACGCAAUUAAUUCCACAGUUUUCAUCCGAUUGUUUCCAAAUUUGCACAGUAUCUUUAUAUCAAUGAGGACUUGAACCCUAUUGAAUAUAUGAGCAGUAUCGGAGAAAUAAGUACACAACAAUCUCCCCUUGAAUUUGAGAAAAUAUUCCUUGUUUGCGCGUUUAAGUACACAGUUUCCAUCUUAUUAUUUCCAAACUUGCACAGUGUUCAUAUCAGUAGAGCGAUUCAGGCCCUCGUGAGCCUCUUGUUAGGAAUUGGAUGCUCAAAUUUAAGAUUUUGUUUUGUCAGAUGUAGCACUUUCAUAAUAUAUGCCUAACUAAAACGUCAUUUUUUUACCAGAUGGGUCAAAAUCUCGUUCCCAGCCACAUAUCUUGGUUAGAAGGUGAUUUUUCAAGCGGUUCCGUAGUGUAGUGGUUACACGCUCGCAUCGCAUGUGAGAGGUCCAAGGUUCGAGCCCCUGUAUAAUAAAAUUAUUUUAUUUGUGUUCUAUGUUAACUUUUUGUUUUGAUGUAGACAUUUUAGUUUAAAUAAAUAUGCUGUUUUAUUGUUA